CAAAAAUAGGAUCCUUCAAUUUCAGUAAGAUAUUUUCAGAUAAUUGAUCAUAAAUAGAAGUGAGCCUUUUAAUGAUCUUCAUCACUUAUCACUUUCUGGAGGAAGAAAGUAAGAUGAAUAUCCUUACUAAUGAUUCGCAACCUUAACUGUGAAUGUCAAAUGAAGAUGCAUAAAUUAAAAGGAAAAGAGGUAAUCAGCAACAGUCAAAGGAGAAAAGAGAACAAGUUGGGAACAACAAAUAAAAGCAAACGUGCUAGAGAUGAAUAA
rnacentral:lncRNA from 1 species